UACGUAGGGGGCAAGCGUUGUCCGGAUUUAUUGGGCGUAAAGAGCUCGUAGGCGGUUCGAUAAGUCGGAUGUGAAAUCUCCACGCUCAACGUGGAGGGGCCAUUCGAUACUGAUCGACUCGAAGGCAGGAGAGGGUAGUGGAAUUCCCGGUGUAGUGGUGAAAUGCGUAGAUAUCGGGAGGAAUACCAGUGGCGAAAGCGGCUUCCUGGUCCAGCACCGACGUUCAGGCACGAAAGCGUGGGGAGCAAACAGG
rnacentral:rRNA from 1 species